rnacentral:rRNA from 1 species
AUGACCAUGAUCCACCCCAAGAGACUUGCUCAGUUGGUGAGGAAGUGGCAAAGGGUCAAGCAGGUAGCAUCCAGAGACGACGAAGUAUGCUGCACGACAUCGCCAGUCGCAGAUAAAGGUCACUGUGCCAUCUACACGGCUGAUGGGAGGCGGUUCGAGGUCCCGUUGGAGUAUCUUGGCACGACAGUAUUUGGCGAGCUGCUAAGGAUGUCCCAGGAAGAGUUUGGGUUCACAUGCGACGGCAGGAUAACACUGCCCUUUGAUGCAGCAGUGAUGGAGUAUGUCAUGUGCUUGCUCAGUAGAAAUGCAUCGGAGGAAGUAGAGAGGGCGUUACUGAGCUCUGUAGUGAUGCCUUGCCAAUAUCUAAGUUGUACGGUGCCACAUGUAACGCUGCACCAGCAGCUUGCAGUUUGUAGCUCCUGA